rnacentral:lncRNA from 1 species
AAAGUGGAAAUGACAAAUUAAAUUAAAGAACCUCAGCUGAAAUUAUUUCACUACGGUAAUUAGUAAUCAAGCCAAACUUGAAGAAAGUCAAUUCUAGCUCUACUCUCAAGACAAAAUAGAAACACAACUAUGUGAAGGCUUUUCACUACAAUACUUAAGUGUUAUACCAUCCCACACCAAACCAAUUUUUUGAUUGAUGAAUGUUAUCAUAGUCACAUAACAAAUUACUCGCUGCACUGGAUCCAUUUACCCUAACAUAAACCUUUGUUGACUGGUAACUUCAAAUACUCGGUAUAAUUAGUGGAAAUGGCAAACAAAAAUAGUGAAACUUAGAAGGCUUUAUUCCAUUAUAGUAAUGAGUAACUGCUAAGAUCAAAUCAGUCAAUUGUGAUCUGGCAUGCAAUAAUUUUCUACACAACCAACAAUAUUUGUAGCAGCUUAAGAAGUUUU